AUUGAACGCUGGCGGCAGGCCUAACACAUGCAAGUCGAACGGUAACAGGAAGACGCUUGCUUCUUUGCUGACGAGUGGCGGACGGGUGAGUAAUGUCUGGGAAACUGCCUGAUGGAGGGGGAUAACUACUGGAAACGGUAGCUAAUACCGCAUAAUGUCGAAAGACCAAAGAGGGGGACCUUCGGGCCUCUUGCCAUCGGAUGUGCCCAGAUGGGAUUAGCUAGUAGGUGGGGUAACGGCUCACCUAGGCGACGAUCCCUAGCUGGUCUGAGAGGAUGACCAGCCACACUGGAACUGAGACACGGUCCAGACUCCUACGGGAGGCAGCAGUGGGGAAUAUUGCACAAUGGGCGCAAGCCUGAUGCAGCUAUGCCGCGUGUAUGAAGAAGGCCUUCGGGUUGUAAAGUACUUUUAGCGGGGAGGAAGGGAGUAAAGUUAAUACCUUCGCUCAUUGACGUUACCCGCAGAAGAAGCACCGGCUAACUCCGUG
rnacentral:rRNA from 1 species